AAAAAUAACCUACCCUCACGAGUCAUGAGUCACGACCCUGCCUCCCAAUCCUAUCUCCACCUCCGGCAAGCCGCCGCCUCCUGCCACGCCACGCCCCCGCCGCAGCGCGCUUGCCGGCCCAUUCCCCCGCCGCCCCCCACCCUAUGGUGAUUUGAAGAGGGCGACGCUACUACUGCUGGACAACGCCAGAUGCAUGGAGAGGCGAUGGCCGCCGCCUGAGCACGGUGGUGGUUAUCGCGCGAACCAGGACGACGGAAGCCCGGUGGUGGUUACCUCCAGAACAAGGACAAUGGAAGCCAGCGGUGUUGCUGGUCCUCGCGGAGACGACGGCGCCCACUGGGGGACCUCGAUCCGCCGCCCAAUCAAGCCUAGCAUCGAUCCGGCCGCUGCUCCUCCACAUCUCCAGCUUGUGUUCCUCCACGGGUCCAAUCCUCGUGAAUAUGGUGGCCCGAGCCCCAUCCACCUUGGUCCUCUUCCGCCGCAGAAAGAUGUGACCUCCCUGGAGUAGCGGGUUAGGCGCACCGUCAGAGGGGGAGAAAAUCUUGUUAACUACAGAAACGAUGCUUGAACGGCCGGGGAACUGAAGCGUGCAGAGAAGGGGUUCAAUUAUUCUCUAUUCGUUUUUCCUUUCUCUAUCAUCUCUGCUAGAAGGGUGUUGCAGCGGCAACUAAGGCAUCCAGGGUCUAAAACUUGCACAGGGGGCGGCCUAAGGGCACAGCAUACAAGCUUGAUGAGUCUCGGGUCGGUGGUGCCCUGAGAGCCUGGUGUUUGAUGCAAGAACAAUAACUAACAUCCACCAGGAGGAGCAAGAACCAGUGACUGCUACCAUUGCUAGCUAAUCUAGCUACUAGGAUAGCCCCCUAUCUCUCCCUCAUAUACAUGGUUUUGCAACGGCCAAAGCACUUUCUUGACACUAAUAAUCCAUAGUUGGGUGCCUUCUUUCUCCCCAACUUUGGUGACUUUGGAACAGCUUGUGGGCAACUGCAGUUUAGAAGAAUCAGUACUUGAAUUGUCUUUUGAAUGUUAAAGCCAAAUGUGUUAGAAAACUAUAAUGAUAAUUGAUGUGUUUCCAUGUC